rnacentral:rRNA from 1 species
AUGGGGUCACCGCAGUGGAAAGGCAGGGAUGCAAUCAUCAAUCCUGAAGCUGUUCAUUUCAUAAAGACAACACUUCAAAUGGAUAAAACUGGAGUUCAUAGCUUGCGAGCUGCAGAAAAUUUCUUGUUGCGCGAUAUCAAUGAGAAUUCAAGCAAGUUGGAGAAGGAUUGUUUCCAGAUUGCUUUUGUUAUCUUUGUUAUGGGUCAUGUACUAGCACCAACUACUAAGCACAACUACGCCACCAUCGACUACUGGGGGGCGAUUGCAAAUACGGAGGCCAUAGUUCAAUUCAAUUGGUGCGAGUAUGUACUGGUACAACUUCUGGACACAGUCAAGAAGCUGAAGAGUGACAUGCUGGCCAACAAUCAGUCCACCAAUCUAACGGGCUGCCAUUUUUUCUUCCAGAUUUUCUUGUUGGACAACCUUGAUCUCGGCAUUUUCAACAAGCCUCAUAACGUGAUCCCACGGAUAUCUGACUUUGACCCUGAGUCAUUUCGUAAAAUGCUGAUUAUGGCCGCUGAUCCAGUGAAAGGAGUUACUUCAUAUUCUCAUGCAAAUCUGAGAGAUGCGGCGACGGUCUGCUACACACGGCAGAAGUUUCCAUCAUCUGUUCCGUCGUCAUCAACGAGUAGAAGGCCGCUGCGGGGAUGUGCCACGCCUGCAAUAGGAACCCUUCCAUACACAACUCCCCUACCAGAUCGCGACGCUGGCCAUCAGAUUAACACUGACGCAGCAAUGCCAUCUUCUGCAGCUCCUGGUCCAAUGGAAUUUGCAAAGUACUUGCGUGAGAAGUACCCACAUCUUGUAGCGGACGAGAUCACAAUGAUUAUGAAACAACAGUAUGCAAGGGGUCUUAUGCAGUUGACACAAGCCAGCAAUUCAAUCCAGCAGGCUUUGUUACAAGCAAGAAACGGUUUGCAAAUGGAUAUGUACAAGUUUUCAGACCAAGUAAUCAACUCAGUUUCUACCCGCUGUGUGUGUUGCCGCGUGCGUGGUUUCACUGACUGCCCUGCCUCAGGCACUGCUAAUUCCAAAUCGGUACGGUUUACCACGCCGGCUGCUCACAAAAUUCAGGGUAAAAGGCUAGAACUAUCUGAAUCCGAAGCCACAUCGCCUAUCGCACAGAACGUCUCUUCGCGCAAGCAUUCCGCCAAUAUGGAUGACUCCGUGUCUAACAGCAAAAAAACGACGUCAGCAGCUUCUUUCAAUGUCAUCAAUCACUUCAAGUCUUGCCUCAUGUCUAUCGCUGAAAUGUAUGCUGACCUUCCUGCCAACCCUCCUAUAACUGUAUUUGGCCAAUGUUCCAACAUCCUUCAGAAGAGGAAAUACAUAUUCCAGCACGGCUUCGCAACUGAUCUGUGGUGCAGGGGAGUUGCGCCGCAUCCCCCACAUCCACCAACAGCGGACCUUAUUGCUGCCCAUUUUUUGGAGUUGUCACAGCAAGAUCUCUUGAGGCACUACAUUGUACACGCCAGUCCCAGGCUUAUCCGCAUUACUGGGAUGGCUAUGCUUGAUCAGCUAAUUGGAUCGCGCCCCCUUCACCAUGAGCUUGCCUCUAUAAUCAUGAGAAGGUAUUCUCAGUCCGAUCAGGAAGCCAAUUCGGAGUGCCCCUACAUGAAUUGGAGGCACAACAUGGAACCUGAAUUUGCGACCAUCGUUCUCGCUGACCACGAAUACUUGACAAACAUAUCAAUUCAGAAGCAGCUUGUUGGAAACGACAUCCCAUAUGACAUUACAUCAUGCCAGAUGUUCUUCCUGCCUGUCCCACUCGAGGACGGCUGGAUAGUGAUCAUGUGGGACAUGAUGUCAAGGAAACUCCAUGUACUCGACCCGCUCAUCAGGGGUGAAGGUCCACACGACGCAACUCGAGAUAAGCUCGAGAUGGUUGUCUGGAAGCUACAUCACGCACUUUUCCAAUGCCUUAACGAGUAUUAUGCUGGGUGGCCAACGCAAGACGGACAGUGGGCUACCAAAUACCCCGUAAUAGCUCAAGAAACCUUUUCCAGAGAUGAAACUGGUACUCCAUAUAGUUAG